UAUAUGUGCUAGGGGUGCCUUUAGGCUGAGAAACAGUUUGUCACGUUAACCCUUAACCUGAUCUGGAUAAUACCAGCGUAGGGAAGCAGUUUGAAUUUUGA
rnacentral:ncRNA from 2 species